rnacentral:rRNA from 1 species
GACGAACGCUGGCGGCGUGCUUAACACAUGCAAGUCGAACGAAACGGCCGGGCCUUUGUGGGGUGCUGGAGUUGCGACCGGGUGAGUAACACUUGGGUACCGUGCCCCUGACUGUGGGAUAUCCUCAUAAAAGUGAGGCUAUUCCCACCUAGGAGUUACUGCUGCUGGAUGGGGGUUGGUAAGUUUCGUCGGUUGGGGAUGUACACGCGUUCGAUUAGCUUGUUGGUGGGGUGGUAGCUUACCAAGGCUACGACGCAUAGCUGGUCUGAUAGGAUGAUACGCCACACUGGGACUGCGACACGGCCCAGACUCCUACGCGAGGCUGCAGUGUGUAGUAUUAGACGCUGAGCGAAAGUCUAAUCCCGCCAUGUCGCGUGAGUGAUGCAGGCCGUAGGGUUGUACAGCUCUUUGACCCGGGGUGUUAAUGACGGUACCGGGUAAAUAAGCACCGGCUAACUACGUG